rnacentral:lncRNA from 1 species
AGUGGCAGCCCUCGCCACCUCGGUGGACAGCAGGAGGAUUCCUGCUCUCCCACAGCGCAGAGCAGCCGAAUUAUACCGCUAGCUGUGGGUUAUUUGGCGUGUAGGAUUGAUUUUAAAUUAUUUCCUGUAUAUUCGCAAAGCCAUCAAGUAGUUUCCCUUUAAAGUGCACCAGCUGUGACAUUCCGUAGGUUCUGUAAUUUCAAAUGAGGCGCUAAGAGACUACUCCUUUCAGCAACUUUUUUUUAAUGAGGGUGGGUACCUGUUGCAAUGAAUCAAUUAAAACUCUUCUGACACACAAGAUGUGUGUUGCCAGACCUGUUUCACAGGUUUCUCAGGAGGGAGGAUAACAUGUGACAACACACAGAAGCCAAGAGUACUGGAGAAGAUCAGAAGCUUGCAUGAGUGAGCUUAGCUUUCCAAAAUAUUUUCUUAAAGCGCUAUUCAAAAGACCACUGACCUCUGCAACAGUCAGCACCAUGGUGGAGCAAGAGAUGCUGCUGUCGUGUGCUUACCCUCAAGAAAAGUGGCAGUCUACCGCCCGGUCACCGGCCACAAGCCCAGUGGGGAGGCAGGGAUCAUCACGGAGGCACGGCCAUCACAGCGGCACUCAACAUCGGAUUUCAGCACGGCUGUGGCCAACAAGGGUCCCAGUCGGUCACCGGUUGACAGGGAUGACUGGGAGCAGAGGAAGGUUGCUCGGUUUUAUCUUCAGAGACCAUCGCUGCUCAGACGCUGGCACCCCAUCACAGUACUAGGUGAUUUGCAGCACGAGUUUCUAGACGAUGCCAUGGAUGAAAACCUCACGGCUCCGGGAAGCCACGGCUCUCUCUGUCCACGCAGGACCCUCAGAGCUCAUCUACAGCAGCAGCUGCAGUAAAUGACAGUGCAGCCGGGCCAGCCGGCACUUCACCAGCACGUCGUCUAGGUCUGCGAGCAGGCAGAGCUCAAGUCACUACUACCACGGGCAGGGCACCGUACACCCAGGGAAAGCGAGGGUAGACCCAGACCCAGAAUUUCUUUCUAUGGAAACAGCUACAUUUCUAACGUUACCGU